GGUCAGGACUACAAGUAGAGAAUUUAAUUUUCUACGCCUCCCGAGAGGGCGGGAAUGUUGGAAGAUUGUGUGUCCGCAUGCUGACAUCUGCUGGGACAACCAGGGACUGAAUAAACUGUCACAACUCUGCCUCAGUCACAUCGCAUGUCCGCAGCCACCUCCGGCCUCUCGGAACUUCUCAAGGGCUGGCAGCUGGAGGCCUUCCCCUGAAGGGCAGAACGCACUGUAAUUAUGGCAGGAGUAAUUGGAAAAAAAAAAUAGCCAACAGUCAUCGCUGGUCAAAAGGCUCCAGGGCGGCGUGGCUUGUGGAAAGAGGGAGUCAGAGGUCAGGAGUUCUAAUUCCGGCUCUGCCGCUCGUCAGC